AUUGAACGCUGGCGGCAGGCCUAACACAUGCAAGUCGAGCGGAUGAGAGGAGCUUGCUCUUUGAUUCAGCGGCGGACGGGUGAGUAAUGCCUAGGCAUCUGCCUGGUAGUGGGGGACAACGUUUCGAAAGGAACGCUAAUACCGCAUACGUCAUACGGGAGAAAGUGGGGGAUCUUCGGACCUCACGCUAUCAGAUGAGCCUAGGUCGGAUUAGCCAGUUGGUGAGGUAAUGACUCACCAAGGCGACGAUCCGUAACUGGUCUGAGAGGAUGAUCAGUCACACUGGAACUGAGACACGGUGCAGACUCCUACGGGAGGCAGCAGUGGGGAAUAUUGAACAAUGGGCACAAGCCUGAUCCAGCCAUGCCGCGUGUGUGAAGAAGGUCUUCGGAUUGUAAAGCACUUUAAGUUGGGAGGAAGGUCAGUAGCUUAAUACGUUGCUGAUUUGACGUUACCGACAGAGUAAGCACCGGCUAACUCUGUGCCAGCCGCCGCCGUAAUAC
rnacentral:rRNA from 1 species